GAUUUUCUUUCAAAAUGAAGUCAAGGUUUCUGCUGUUUGCGCUUCUGUUGUUCUUGAUUCCUGCUUCCAGGAGUGAUGCUGUGAUGACCCAAUCUCCACUGUCCCUAACUGUCAGUCUUGGCGAUCAAGCCUCUAUUUCCUGCAGGUCUAGUCAGAGCCUUGUUGCUAGUGAUGGUUAUACCUAUUUAUAUUGGUUUCUUCAGAAGCCAGGCCAGUCACCACAGCUCCUAAUUUAUGAGGUUUCCAACCGAUAUUCUGGGGUCUCAGACAGGUUCAGUGGCAGUGGGUCAGGGUCAGAUUUCACACUCAAGAUCAGCAGAGUGGAGCCUGAAGAUUUGGGAGUUUAUUACUGCAUGCAAGGUACACAUGUUCCUCCCACAGUGAUGCAGACCCUAACAAAAACAUCCUUGCUUAGGGUAAUCCAGCUGGCAAAUAUGUUAUUUAAAUGUGAGAGAAAGAGGUGA